GAGACUACUAUAACACAGAGAUUGGUCACUCUCUGUACUGGCCAGUCAAAUCGUAUUUUCACGAUGUCCACGGAUGCGCGCGCAUUCUGACUGAUUAGACAAGAAGGACGAUCAGCCAUUGUUUACAAGCGUGGUGCAAAAUAAUAACAUAUGUGGCUUAUUAAGACGUUUUUAUAUCAAAAUGCCUCUCCGAAAGAAAUCGCGUUUGGGACGACCGAAAAAGAACAGCCAUCAGAAAAAAGAACCAAAGCAUAAAAUUGAAUACCAAAGAGGAAAAGAUGUAGAAAUUAACAAAUGGAGGUAAAAAGAGAGUAAUCCUCGACAAUGAACAGCUGUUGGUACCAGUAUGGAGGAGACAUCUGUUCCAGUUUCAAUCCACACUGAAGAUGGAAAGAGAAUGAAAAAUAUGAACGCUUAAAUUUGAUUGUCAUGCUGUUUCUUUUUCUAGCACCAGUGAAAGGCACAGAGCAACUGAUUGCACAAGAAAUUGAGAUAUUUGCAGUGAAUGAGACACACAAUAAAGAUGAAGAAUCUUGCCAUCUCCCUUUCACUGUAUGCAAUUUAUUACAAGUUAUCAUCGCUGAUACAUGUAUAUAUCCUUAGCUGUACAGAUACCGAAAUUUGCAUAACCCAGAUCA